rnacentral:rRNA from 1 species
UACGUAGGAGACGAGCGUUGUCCGGAGUACUGGGCGUAAAGCGUGCGCAGGCGGUGAUGUAAGACAGGUGUGAAAUCCCCGGGCUCAACCUGGGAACUGCAUUUGUGACUGCAUUGCUGGAGUGCGGCAGAGGGGGAUGGAAUUCCGCGUAUAGCAGUGAAAUGCGUAGAUAUGCGGAGGAACACCGAUGGCGAAGGCAAUCCCCUGGGCCUGCACUGACGCUCAUGCACGAAAGCGUGGGGAGCAAACAGG